rnacentral:rRNA from 1 species
GACGAACGCUGGCGGCGUGCUUAACACAUGCAAGUCGAACGGAAAGGCCCUGCUUUUGUGGGGUGCUCGAGUGGCGAACGGGUGAGUAACACGUGAGUAACCUGCCCUUGACUUUGGGAUAACUUCAGGAAACUGGGGCUAAUACCGGAUAGGAGCUCCUGCUGCAUGGUGGGGGUUGGAAAGUUUCGGCGGUUGGGGAUGGACUCGCGGCUUAUCAGCUUGUUGGUGGGGUAGUGGCUUACCAAGGCUUUGACGGGUAGCCGGCCUGAGAGGGUGACCGGCCACAUUGGGACUGAGAUACGGCCCAGACUCCUACGGGAGGCAGCAGUGGGGAAUAUUGCACAAUGGGCGGAAGCCUGAUGCAGCAACGCCGCGUGCGGGAUGACGGCCUUCGGGUUGUAAACCGCUUUCGCCUGUGACGAAGCGUGAGUGACGGUAAUGGGUGAAGGAGCACCGGCUAACUACGUG